AGUGAACGCUGGCGGUAGGCCUAACACAUGCAAGUCGAACGGCAGCACAGUAAGAGCUUGCUCUUACGGGUGGCGAGUGGCGGACGGGUGAGGAAUACAUCGGAAUCUACUUUUUCGUGGGGGAUAACGUAGGGAAACUUACGCUAAUACCGCAUACGACCUACGGGUGAAAGCAGGGGAUCUUCGGACCUUGCGCGAUUGAAUGAGCCGCUGUCGGAUUAGCUAGUUGGCGGGGUAAAGGCCCACCAAGGCGACGAUCCGUAGCUGGUCUGAGAGGAUGACCAGCCACACUGGAACUGAGACACGGUCCAGACUCCUACGGGAGGCAGCAGUGGGGAAUAUUGGACAAUGGGCGCAAGCCUGAUCCAGCCAUACCGCGUGGGUGAAGAAGGCCUUCGGGUUGUAAAGCCCUUUUGUUGGGAAAGAAAAGCAGCAGGUUAAUACCCCACUGUUCUGACGGUACCCAAAGAAUAAGCACCGGCUAACUUCGUG
rnacentral:rRNA from 1 species